AUCAACUUUCGAUGGUAGGAUAGAGGCCUACCAUGGUGGUAACGGGUAACGGGGUGUUAGGGCACGACACCGGAGAGGGAGCCUGAGAAACGGCUACCACAUCCAAGGAUGGCAGCAGGCGCGCAAAUUACCCAAUCCCGACACGGGGAGGUAGUGACAAUAAAUAACAAUACGGGGUUCUUUAGGAUCUCGUAAUUGGAAUGAGUACAAUUUAAAUCUCUUAACGAGGAACAAUUGGAGGGCAAGUCUGGUGCCAGCAGCCGCGGUAAUUCCAGCUCCAAUAGCGUAUAUUAAAGUUGUUGCAGUUAAAAAGCUCGUAGUUGAAUUUCGGGGUCAGUAGGUCGGUCGUGCCACUGGUAUGAACUGGUUUUACUGAUUCCUCCCUCUUGAAGAACUGUAAUGCCAUUAAUUUGGUGUUGCAGGGAAUCAGGACUGUUACUUUGAAAAAAUUAGAGUGUUUAAAGCAGGCUUUAGCUUGAAUACAUUAGCAUGGAAUAAUGAAAUAGGACGUUUGAUCCUAUUUUGUUGGUUUCUAGGAUUGACGUAAUGAUUAAUAGGGAUAGUUGGGGGCAUUAGUAUUCAAUUGUCAGAGGUGAAAUUCUUGGAUUUAUUGAAGACUAACUACUGCGAAAGCAUUUGCCAAGGAUGUUUUCAUUAAUCAAGAACGAAAGUUAGGGGAUCGAAGACGAUCAGAUACCGUCGUAGUCUUAACCAUAAACUAUGCCGACUAGGGAUCGGAUGAUGUUAAUUUUUUAAUGACUCAUUCGGCGCCUUACGGGAAACCAAAGUGUUUGGGUUC
rnacentral:rRNA from 1 species